GAAAAUCAAGAGAAAUCAAGAAAUCAAGCAUUAAAAAGGUGGUGAGUCCUCCGAUAAAGGCAAGGGAAUUGCACUUGAGGACCAAUAGUCUGAGCAUUU